GUUUUUAUAGUUUAAGAAAAAACAGUGAUUUUGUAAAUCAAUAAAUAGAUUUAUAUUUCUUAAAAACA
rnacentral:tRNA from 1 species